AUUGAACGCUGGCGGCAGGCCUAACACAUGCAAGUCGAGCGGGAACUUCGGUUCUAGCGGCGGACGGGUGAGUAAUGCGUAGGAAGCUACCCGACAGAGGGGGAUACCAGUUGGAAACGACUGUUAAUACCGCAUAAUGUCUACGGACCAAAGUGUGGGACCUUCGGGCCACAUGCUGUCGGAUGCGCCUACGUGGGAUUAGCUAGUUGGUGAGGUAAUGGCUCACCAAGGCGACGAUCCCUAGCUGGUUUGAGAGGAUGAUCAGCCACACUGGAACUGAGACACGGUCCAGACUCCUACGGGAGGCAGCAGUGGGGAAUAUUGGACAAUGGGCGAAAGCCUGAUCCAGCCAUGCCGCGUGUGUGAAGAAGGCCUUCGGGUUGUAAACUCCUGUUAAGUGUGAAAAAAGAUUCGCUUUUAAUAGAAGCGAAGGAUGAUGGUAACACUAGAGAAAGCACCGGCUAACUUCGUGCCAGCCGCCGCAGUAAGAC
rnacentral:rRNA from 1 species